UCCGUAGGUGAACCUGCGGAAGGAUCAUUACAAGUCUUAAACAUGCCAUUUGGGGCCGCAAGGCUCCAAAUGGAUACAUACGUUCGGAGUCGCAAGACUUCCGUAACACAUUCACGCUUGAUUUGUUUGCCAGAGUAAGAAUACAAUGAACUAUGACAACUUUUAACAAUGGAUCUCUUGGCUCUUGCAACGAUGAAGAACGCAGUAAAGUGCGAUAUGUAGUGCGAUUUGCAUGAAUCUGUGAGUCAUCUAAUCUUUGAACGCAACUUGCGCCGUUAGGCAUGUCUGUUCGAGAACCGUACGAAACUGUGUGUAUUACGAAUUGGUGGAUGCUGGUGUGGGUGGGGAGUGGUUGUAAGACUGCAAGACAUUCACCGCUGGCUCUGCUUAAAGAGAGCAAGCAUGACUCGGAGGAACGAGCUAGUGUGCUAGAGGCACGAGAAGGGUAGAUGCAAUUUUUGCUCAUCCCUGACCACGUCUUGUCACUGGCAAAGAUCCCCGCAGUCCAAACUAAUAAUCAACUACCGGGUCUCGGAAUCAGGGGGCAAGGAUCACCCGGCUGGAACUUAAGGCAUAUCAAUAAGGCGGGGAGGGGAAGGUCGGACUGGCCAAGGGGCACACAGGGGGGGGGAUA
rnacentral:rRNA from 1 species